rnacentral:tRNA from 1 species
GCAAUGGUGGUUCAGUGGUAGAAUUCUCACUUCCCAUAUGGGAGACCCAGGUUCGAAUCCUGGCCAAUGCA